rnacentral:lncRNA from 1 species
GUUUUUCUUAGUCUGGCAUUCUUUACAUCCCUCUGGUCAAAAUAAUUGGCAGAUGAGCCAAACCUGGCCGCUUCUUCGCUGGGAUUUUACGUUAAUGCUGGAAGAGAGAAGCUGUCUGUUUUCUCUAGGGUAACACCUCUGGGUUAUAAAGGUCUAAACCUGUCUGUGAUACUCAUCUAUUCCCACCGACUUUAUGGUGGACACCCAGGAGAGUGGACAUGCAGAGAAGUAGACACAACUGAAAUGUGUUUUGAGGUAGAAUCUGCUGGAGGAUUGAAUUAGAGGCAAGAGACAUGCAAAAGGUCAGAAGACAAUGUGAGGAUUUAGCCAGUUGAUGAAGGCAAGAAGAAAG